UAGCUAUCUUGGUGGUGUAGCCUGU
rnacentral:piRNA from 1 species